rnacentral:lncRNA from 1 species
CUACAGCAACUACCAAUCACCCCCUUAGUAAAUACUAAACUUUACUCCAAACUUCAGCUCCUAAAUAAUAAAUCAUAAACUUUAAACAUCACCCUUCCAUCUAAACCCUAAACCCUAAUUACUGAACCCUAAAUCCAAAUAUAAACCUCAAACCCCAAUUAUCAAAAUCUGAAAAUAGUAUAUAUUAAACUAAAUCCAGACCUAAUUUUGAAUAGUAUAGGACUCCAAUCCAACACACAACUCCUCAAUGCUAAACUCAUACCUAAAUUUUGAAUACUAAACCCAAAAAUGCUAUCACUAAACCCAAAUCUAAACCCCCACCUUCUAAAUACUAAACCCUAAAUCCUAAUCACUAAACCAUAAACCCAAGCAUAGACUCUAAACUCAAAUAGAAUGAAACAAAAUACAUAGUAUAGUACAAACUGGUGAGUAAAAUAGAACACUCUUUAUUAAUCGUCAAUGGAACAUACAUAAUACAGUCACUAAACCCAAACUUCAACCCCCACCUUCCAAAUACUAAACCCUAAAUCUUAAUCACUAAACCCUAAACCCAAGUAUAAAC